ensembl:lncRNA
GGAAAAUCCUGGUUCCCUCAAUGCCAGUGCUCUGUUUGGAUGCCAGCAGGAGACUUGCAUAUGUCAGAUUUAGGAUGAUAAAUGGCCUGCUGUGCCAGCCUCAGAAAUUGCCAAGUUCAGGGAUCUUGAGCUGAGGGCAAACGAAUCCAGGCACGAAUGAGCCCUCCUGUGAUACGUGAAGUGGUGGUCCUAUGGCUAGCAGAGAUACCUGGCUGUGUGCAAGAGCCAGCAGACUACGCAAGAGCACAGCCCACAGCGACUCUGUGUUUUGCACAUAUAUGUGAUCUACUGCAGUUGUCUUACUGACCUACAUCUCUCACUGACAUCCUAUGCCAUUACAAGGUGCACAAGGAGCUGAGAGGGGACAGAGCACAUACAGCUGACCCAAACUGAUACUGAAAGGAUGCCCCAUACCAUAUGCCAUGCUCCGCAAUGAAACUGGGGGAGUUGGAGUUGACCCAGGAGGCUGUUAUUGCUUGGGGACUGGCUGGGCAUCAGUCAGCUGGUGAUUACUUGCUUGUCAUAGACUUGGCAGAUGACUUUUUCACCUACACUGAUUUCCGCCACUUGGCACCUCAUAGACUCUGGAGAAAUGCGGGAACCCAUACAUUGGAAUUGAAGCAUAAAUAUCCUGUAUCCACCAGCAAAGCAGAAAAAAUGUUUUCAACCAGUGUGGCACAAAGUCAGGAGUUUUGUGCAAGGGAUAAAAAAAAAUUGCCUUAAUAUGGCAAAAAGAAGAGAAGA